rnacentral:pre_miRNA from 1 species
UCACCUCCACAGGUUGGCUGGCCCCCAGGCUGGGCUGGGUGACUAUCUCUUCAAAAGGCUCAUCUCAAGCACCACUAGGAGC